GACGAACGCUGGCGGCGUGCCUAAUACAUGCAAGUUGAGCGAUGAAGAUUGGUGCUUGCCCCAAUUUGAAGAGCAGCGAACGGGUGAGUAACGCGUGGGGAAUCUGCCUUUGAGCGGGGGACAACAUUUGGAAACGAAUGCUAAUACCGCAUAACAACUUUAAACAUAAGUUUUAAGUUUGAAAGAUGCAAUUGCAUCACUCAAAGAUGAUCCCGCGUUGUAUUAGCUAGUUGGUGAGGUAAAGGCUCACCAGGGCGAUGAUACAUAGCUGACCUGAGAGGGUGGUCGGCCACAUUGGGACUGAGACACGGCCCAAACUCCUACGGGAGGCAGCAGUAGGGAAUCUUCGGCAAUGGACGAAAGUCUGACCGAGCAACGCCGCGUGAGUGAAGAAGGUUUUCGGAUCGUAAAACUCUGUUGGUAGAGAAGAACGUUGGUGAGAGUGGAAAGCUCAUCAAGUGACGGUAACUACCCAGAAAGGGACGGCUAACUACGUG
rnacentral:rRNA from 1 species